AAAAGGAAAACAAGCAAGAACGGAGAGAGAGCUGGAGAAAUAGGAGAGCUCGAGAGAGAGAGAGAGAGAGGAGAAAAGGGAGAGAGCGAACCAGAGGGAGGAGGGAAGCUCGAGGGAGCAGCUAGCCGUUGCCGGAGGCCCGUUCGUCCGCCCGUUGCCCGCCGUCCGAACCAGGAGGGGCGAGAGGCUGAAGACGAAGCCGAGACAAAACACAGAGAGAAAUCGAGAGAGAGAGAGAGAGAGGAGGAGUCCGAGCGAGGAAGCGACUAAGGGAGAGGAAGUGAGCUUCAGCCGUCGCCUCAGCUGCGCGCGAGCCCCGCCUGACGACCCCUCGGCCAACGUCCUCAAAUUGGAUCCGGUACGUCCUCCUUGCGCCCUGUUUUCACCCGGUUCUGUGCAUCCCGGGCCGGAGUUUGCGUUCGAAUGGUUUGCGUGAACUCCGGCCCUGUCCACUCCCUGUUUGGUUGCUGUAUGUCUUAUUGUUUAUUGGUGAGUCUCGGUUUGUGUUCGGGUCCUAGUUGAGCUAGAAACUUGUGAUUCGGGAGCGCCCUCCACCUGUUUGAUAGAAUGCCACAACGAGAUCCAGUCUCCGUGGCUUUGUCUUUGACUGAAAUCGAGUUGUCCGAGCGUGUCGCGCUCUAUUGUGAUGUUCCGGUGGUGUUGGGUGACCUUGGGCGUCGGUCGUGUGGUCAUUCGCUACGUUCCCAUCUUCGUUGUUGCUUGUUCGGUGUUUGGCCGAGGAGGGCAUGCUCGGCCG
rnacentral:lncRNA from 1 species